rnacentral:rRNA from 1 species
GUGCAGCAGCCGCGGUAAUACGGAGGGUGCGAGCGUUAAUCGGAAUGACUGGGCGUAAAGGGCAUGUAGGCGGAUAAUUAAGUUAGGUGUGAAAGCCCUGGGCUCAACCUAGGAAUUGCAUUUAAAACUGGUUAACUAGAGUAUUGUAGAGGAAGGUAGAAUUCCACGUGUAGCGGUGAAAUGCGUAGAGAUGUGGAGGAAUACCGGUGGCGAAGGCGGCUCUCUGGUCUGUAACUGACGCUGAGGUUCGAAAGCAUGGGUAGCGAACAGGAUUAGAUACCCUGGUAGUCCACGCUGUAAACGAUGUCGAUUUGGAGUUUGUUGCCUAGAGUGAUGGGCUCCGAAGCUAACGCGAUAAAUCGACCGCCUGGGGAGUACGGCCGCAAGGUUAAAACUCAAAUGAAUUGACGGGGGCCCGCACAAGCGGUGGAGCAUGUGGUUUAA